rnacentral:rRNA from 1 species
CAGCAGGCGCGUAAAUUGCCCGAAUCCUGACACAGGGAGGUAGUGACAAGAGAUAACAAUACAGGGCUACUUCUAGUCUUGUAAUUGGAAUGAGUACAACUUACAUCUCUUCACGAGGAUCAAUUGGAGGGCAAGUCUGGUGCCAGCAGCCGCGGUAAUUCCAGCUCCAAUAGCGUAUAUUAAAGUUGUUGCAGUUAAAAAGCUCGUAGUCGGAUUUCGGGUCGGGCCGAGCGGUCUGCCGAUGGGUAUGCACUGUUUGGCGCGGCCUUCUUUCCGGAGACCGCGGCUACUCUUAACUGAGCGGGCGUGGGAGACGGAUCGUUUACUUUGAAAAAAUCAGAGUGUUUCUAGCAGGCAGCUCGCUCUUGCAUAGGUUAGCAUGGGAUAAUUUAAUAGGACUCUGGUGCUAUUUUGUUGGUUUCGAACACCGGAGUAAUGAUUAAAAGGGGCAGUCAGGGGCACUCGUAUUCCGUCGAGAGAGGUGAAAUUCUCAGACCAAUGGAAGACGAACCACUGCGAAAGCAUUUGCCAGGGAUGUUUUCACUGAUCAAGAACGAAAGUUAGGGGAUCGAAGACGAUCAGAUACCGUCGUAGUCUUAACCAUAAACCAUGCCGACUAGGGAUUGGAGGGUGUUCGUUUCGACCCCUUCAGCACCUUACGGGAAACUAAAGUCUUUGGGUUCCGGGGGGAGUAUGGUCGCAAGGCUGAAACUUAAAGGAAUUGACGGAAGGGCACCACCAGGAGUGGAGCCUGCGGCUUAAUUUGACUCAACACGGGGAAACUUACCAGGUCCAGACAUUGUUAGGAUUGACAGAUUGAGAGCUCUUUCUUGAUUCGA